UACGAAGGGUGCAAGCGUUACUCGGAAUUACUGGGCGUAAAGCGUGCGUAGGCGGUUUGUUAAGUCCGUUGUGAAAGCCCUGGGCUCAACCUGGGAAUUGCAGUGGAUACUGGCGAGCUAGAGUGCGGUAGAGGAUGGUGGAAUUCCCGGUGUAGCGGUGAAAUGCGUAGAGAUCGGGAGGAACACCCGUGGCGAAGGCGGCCAUCUGGACCAGCACUGACGCUGAGGCACGAAAGCGUGGG
rnacentral:rRNA from 1 species